UAGUGGUGAUAGCGGAGGGGAAACACCCGUUCCCAUCCCGAACACGGAAGUUAAGCCCUCCAGCGCCGAUGGUAGUUGGGGCCAGCGCCCCUGCAAGAGUAGGUCGCUGCUAGGCA
rnacentral:rRNA from 6 species